rnacentral:rRNA from 1 species
GACGAACGCUGGCGGCGUGCCUAAUACAUGCAAGUUGAGCGCUGAAGGUUGGUACUUGUACCAACUGGAUGAGCAGCGAACGGGUGAGUAACGCGUGGGGAAUCUGCCUUUGAGCGGGGGACAACAUUUGGAAACGAAUGCUAAUACCGCAUAAAAACUUUAAACACAAGUUUUAAGUUUGAAAGAUGCAAUUGCAUCACUCAAAGAUGAUCCCGCGUUGUAUUAGCUAGUUGGUGAGGUAAAGGCUCACCAAGGCGAUGAUACAUAGCCGACCUGAGAGGGUGAUCGGCAACAUUGGGACUGAGACACGGCCCAAACUCCUACGGGAGGCAGCAGUAGGGAAUCUUCGGCAAUGGACGAAAGUCUGACCGAGCAACGCCGCGUGAGUGAAGAAGGUUGUCGGAUCGUAAAACUCUGUUGGUAGAGAAGAACGUUGGUGAGAGUGGAAAGCUCAUCAAGUGACGGUAACUACCCAGAAAGGGACGGCUAACUACGUG